GACGAACGCUGGCGGCGUGCCUAAUACAUGCAAGUUGAGCGAUGAAGAUUGGUGCUUGCACCAAUUUGAAGAGCAGCGAACGGGUGAGUAACGCGUGGGGAAUCUGCCUUUGAGCGGGGGACAACAUUUGGAAACGAAUGCUAAUACCGCAUAACAACUUUAAACAUAAGUUUUAAGUUUGAAAGAUGCAAUUGCAUCACUCAAAGAUGAUCCCGCGUUGUAUUAGCUAGUUGGUGAGGUAAAGGCUCACCAAGGCGAUGAUACAUAGCCGACCUGAGAGGGUGAUCGACCACAUUGGGACUGAGACACGGCCCAAACUCCUACGGGAGGCAGCAGUAGGGAAUCUUCGGCAAUGGACGAAAGUCUGACCGAGCAACGCCGCGUGAGUGAAGAAGGGUUUCGGAUCGUAAAACUCUGUUGGUAGAGAAGAACGUUGGUGAGAGUGGAAAGCUCAUCAAGUGACGGUAACUACCCAGAAAGGGACGGCUAACUACGUG
rnacentral:rRNA from 1 species